rnacentral:lncRNA from 1 species
AACAGCACCCAUUUCCAAACUUCAAGAAAUAAUCAUGAAACCAAUCUUUAUUUCUCAUGUUAAACAUAUAUCAUGUUCUAAAAAGAGAUAUGAGUCUUUGCACAAGACACCAUAAUGGACCUGUUAGUAAAAUAAAGGACUUAACCAAAAAGUCAUUAGAAUAAGCACCAUAAACACCAUAUAUUCUAAUAGAAUAAGCCAUGAAUACAUAUGCCCCUUUAUAAACUCCCCUGGAAAAAGACAGCAUCGCUUUAUCAGUAUGUAAUACUGAACCAAAACAACAAAAUCGUGAUGGUUUCAAAGGAGGUGUUUAAAUUCUCAUAUAGGAAAAAUAAUGGAUUAACAUUUAGCCUCCUCAAGCAGAGUGGUUGUUAUUCCGCACUUCUUUCAAUCAAAACGCAGUUUGGUGCUCUCACAGCCAUACCGCCACAAGAAAAUAAACAACAAUACGCAAUAUGAACGCGUCUGUAUAGUUAUUCCAAUGAAUGCAUAAACACAUCCCAUUAAACCAAAAGCACAUAAAAAUGAUAAAAUAGAAACGAUAUAUAUAAAAAAACGUGAGGAACACCAACCAAAACGUGAUUGUUACAGUGUCGUCGUCGUGGGAGUCACCGGAGAUUGGAAGGUUUCCAAAAUGCCGUCGAUGGUGGUGUGAUACGGUGAGCUGAUUUCGUUGAACCUCAAAGCCUCCCGGCGGAGGAUGAGCCGUUGGAGAUUGCUUUGGACGAUUCUGUUUGUCGGAGAAGAGGGGUUUUUUGUGAAGGAAAGUUGUGCGAUGGACGGCGGAGGUGAGAUUUACUGUUGAGGGAGUACGGCGGCAGAUCGGAAAGAGUGACGUUGAUGGGUUUGGUCGUCGGUUAAGAGGGAGGCGAAUGGGGUUUCCGGUGGCGAGGAAGAUGGAGGGUUAACGGCAUAUGAGGGUGGAGAUGAAGUUAAGUGAAGGGUGUUGCGGCGAUGGUGGUUUGUCAGUGUGUAGGUACGUUGGAGAUGAAGAGGAAAAGUCCUCUUCUUGUUUUCUUUUCUUUUUCGUUUUUCUUUUUUUCAAGAGUGGCCGAGAGAGAUGUCGUGAGGGAUGUGUGGUAUUCCAGAAGAGGAACAGUGACUGAGUGUAUUGAGAGGAUGAGAGUCGUUAAAGAGUGUGAGGUAGCAUGAGGGAGUGAGAGAGAUGAUGGAGAGUGAUUGAGUGUGAGAGGAAACGUGAGAGAGUGAAGGAAAUCUGUGUGAGAGGAUUUUCAGUGUCCAAAAACAAUA